UUUUGCAGGGGGGAGCGGGUCGUCGGGUCGGGCGUGUGACCCGGCGCUCUAGGUUUUCGCAAGGCCAACUUCUCCACGGGCCGGGCAUCCCCUUUUUUUUAAUAGGCCCAAUUCCGUGUGUGUGGGCUGAGUUUUUAAGAAAAAGAAAAAAAAUCUGAGUCGGGCCCGCGUUGCGGGCCCGUCCGCGUCUUGGGUCGUCGACCCGGGUCGGACCCAACCACGCGGAUCCGACCCGG
rnacentral:lncRNA from 1 species